rnacentral:rRNA from 1 species
CGAACGCUGGCGGCGUGCCUAAUACAUGCAAGUCGAGCGAACAGAAGGGAGCUUGCUCCCGGAUGUUAGCGGCGGACGGGUGAGUAACACGUGGGUAACCUGCCUGUAAGACUGGGAUAACUCCGGGAAACCGGAGCUAAUACCGGAUAGUUCCUUGAACCGCAUGGUUCAAGGAUGAAAGACGGUUUCGGCUGUCACUUACAGAUGGACCCGCGGCGCAUUAGCUAGUUGGUGGGGUAAUGGCUCACCAAGGCGACGAUGCGUAGCCGACCUGAGAGGGUGAUCGGCCACACUGGGACUGAGACACGGCCCAGACUCCUACGGGAGGCAGCAGUAGGGAAUCUUCCGCAAUGGACGAAAGUCUGACGGAGCAACGCCGCGUGAGUGAUGAAGGUUUUCGGAUCGUAAAGCUCUGUUGUUAGGGAAGAACAAGUGCGAGAGUAACUGCUCGCACCUUGACGGUACCUAACCAGAAAGCCACGGCUAACUACGUGCCAGCAGCCGCGGUAAUACGUAGGUGGCAAGCGUUGUCCGGAAUUAUUGGGCGUAAAGGGCUCGCAGGCGGUUUCUUA